UACAGAGGGGGCAAGCGUUGUUCGGAAUUACUGGGCGUAAAGGGCGCGUAGGCGGCCUGUUAAGUCGAACGUGAAAUCCCCGGGCUCAACCCGGGAACUGCGUCCGAUACUGGCAGGCUUGAAUCCGGGAGAGGGAUGCGGAAUUCCAGGUGUAGCGGUGAAAUGCGUAGAUAUCUGGAGGAACACCGGUGGCGAAGGCGGCAUCCUGGACCGGGUAUUGACGCCUGAGGCGCGGAAAGCCCAGGGGGAGCAAAACGGGG
rnacentral:rRNA from 1 species